rnacentral:rRNA from 1 species
CCUACGGGAGGCAGCAGUGGGGAAUAUUGCACAAUGGGCGCAAGCCUGAUGCAGCGACGCCGCGUGAGCGAAGAAGUAUUUCGGUAUGUAAAGCUCUAUCAGCAGGGAAGAAAAUGACGGUACCUGACUAAGAAGCUCCGGCCAAAUACGUGCCAGCAGCCGCGGUAAUACGUAGGGGGCAAGCGUUAUCCGGAUUUACUGGGUGUAAAGGGAGCGUAGACGGCUGUGCAAGUCUGAAGUGAAAUGCCGGGGCCCAACCCCGGAACUGCUUUGGAAACUGUACAGCUAGAGUGCAGGAGGGGUGA